AUUGGUUGCUGGGUCUGCUCUCUCUCACUGGGCAGCAGGCCAGGCGCCCUCCGACCGCUUUCCGUCUGUGACAUCGGCGAGUGACCAUCCAGGUGUGUCUGGCUCGGAUUCACAACCCCUUUGCUGUGCUGCACCGUGAGUCAAGACUCACAAUUAAUUGAAGUUUUGCCAUGAUGAAGACCUUGGAUAUCAAACUGAUGACAGUAUUUCACUUAAUGUGGACCUUUUAUAAUGGAGGCGUUUGGAAACUGUGGGAGAUGACAUCACAGAAUUGAUUUCCAGCCCCUCCGACAGCACGGAGCUGUCUCCCCACUCCAGGACUCCCGCCUGUCCUUCCCUUAGUCCCCUAGGACAGCUCUUCAGAGACGCAAUGGCCUCGGGGCAUUUCCUGAUCUUCUCGGGGAAGAAGCCCAUGACCAGGAGGAUGAACCAACCAGCCAAUCAGAGGCCAGGCUGGGCCUGAACCAGGACUGCCCGCAUCCGUUACAUUCUCCCCUGCUCUCUCUGGCUGGACGCAAGAUCGGAGGCUUGGACCCCUCUGCAGACCUCAGCUGGCCCUGUGUGGUGUGGACUGACUCUUUCAUGGCUCAGCUGAGCCCAGGGGACAUCCCAUAAAGCUCUGCGUGCACACACUCUUCUCUCCUUUGUACUGUUAGU